GAUCCUGGCUCAGGAUGAACGCUGGCGGCGUGCGUAACACAUGCAAGUUGGACGACGGUGCCAUGAAGUGGUAACACGGAGUGGUAUACGGAGUAGCGGACGGGUGAGUACAACAUGAGAAGCUGUCCUUCAGCGGGGGGCGAACGUCUGGAAGCGGACGCUAAUACCCACUAGGCCGAGGGGUUAAAGCAGAGAUGCGCUGGAGGAGGUGCUCGUGCCCUAUCAGCUAGUUUGUGAGG
rnacentral:rRNA from 1 species